rnacentral:lncRNA from 1 species
CUUCCGAGUGAUGAGACCCAGACACCCCAGACCAAUGUAAACCUGUCCUCCUAUGUGCUUCCGAGUUAUGGGACCAUGAGGCCCCAGACCAAUGUGGACCUGUCUUAUGUGCUUCCGAGUUAUGGGACCAUGAGGCCCCAGACCAAUGUGGACCUGUCCUACUAUGUGGUAAUAACAACACACACCUCACUAAAAAUUAAUGUUUUGCACCUCCAAUUUUAUUUAAAUAUUUUAAGAAUUCCAUUCAUGAUAUACUAAUCAAACACACCUUAAUUUGUUUUCCCACUUCAUUAUGUGAACUUCCAAAUUAUAUUUUAGCUUCAGACCUUCAGACCUUCUGUAAUAUUUCCUUCUUGCAAUCUAUGGCAAUGAAUGAGACUAUGCACAGUAUAGGUGUAAAGCGAUUCUCAAUCAACGCAGCUGGUGUGUUCUAUACACUCAACAGAAUCUUUUGGUAAUCAGGCAUUGAUCUUCAGUCAUUACGGUAUAGCCUAGGGUUAAAGUAAGUGGAAGGGAUACAAUAUGAAAGUGUAUAUGGCUGUAACCAGAGAGAAUAGAUGAAAUUGAAAUGUGUGUGUGUGUGUGUGUGUGUGUGUGUGUGUGUGUGUGUGUGUGUGUGUGUGUGUGUGUGUGUGUGUGUGUGUGUGUGUGUGUGUGUGUGUGUGUGUGUGUGUGUGUGUGUCUCCCCUCCCCAUUCAUGCUUUCUACAUUUUCUGAUGUAAACACACCUUUAAAGUUUUUUUUUUAAUCACAUUUCUAAACAAAACCUGGCACUUGGACAAGGCACAAUUUUCCUCAACCUUGUCAUCGGCCUAAAACACACAGCCAUUGCCUUUUCUUGACUUCCUUUAACUUAUUUUGGUCUAUGUUCAAGCAAAGGUUAUGGAACCACCGGUCACAUUUAUCACACUGGAUCUGUUGAAUUGAAAAAACAACUAGAACUGCAAGCAGUUAUGCAGGGGUCCAAGAAGUGUGCAUUUCGCCGGCACAACGCGACAAGAAAUGUGCAUUUCGCUGGCACAACGCGAAGCAAGUAUUGAAAACGCUACCGUGAACAACAUGUGGAUAUCAAGGUUUUGACUGUGGGAGCUUCGGUGUGGGAGUUAUAGCCUAAAACGCGUUUUCAGCACAUUCCAUUGGCCAAAUAGGAGAUAGACAAUGUCGUCGUUUUUUGGCGCCGCCCUGUGGCGAAAUUUUCCAAAGACAAUUUUCCUUUGCCAAAUAACUCCCGCCCAUAUUAAUAAUUCUUGGCCAUAUUUUCUAUAUAGACUCGGGUUUGCCCCUUGAUGGUUUCCCUUGAGUUUGAAGAACAUUCCUUUGGCCAAUUAGAAGAUAUACAAUUUCCUCGUUUAUUGUGCCCCCUAAUGACGAAAUAUUCCGAAUUCUUUAUUGAACGCCAUUAAGGGUAGCACCGACAUGUGUCUAAAAUUUGGACUUGAUCCGAUGUCUAAUUUUGGUAUUUUUUUAAUUUUUGCGUUUCGACGUAAAACGUAGCUAAUAAACAAAUAUUCAAAACGCUACCGUUUCGUAGUCGAAGGUCGGAUCAAAAAGGUGUUUGAGUUUUU